CUGCCGGCGACCGGCGCACGGGUGAGUAACACGUAUGGAACCUGCCCGCAGCAGGGGGAUAAGCGGAAGAAAUUCCGUCUAAUACCGCGUAACAACGUUGGGAGGCAUCUCCCGAUGUUUAAAGAUUUAUCGGCUGCGGAUGGCCAUGCGGCGCAUUAGCUAGUCGGCGGGGUAACGGCCCACCGAGGCGACGAUGCGUAGGGGUUCUGAGAGGAAGGUCCCCCACACUGGUACUGAGGCACGGACCAGACUCCUACGGGAGGCAGCAG
rnacentral:rRNA from 1 species